CCUACGGGUGGCAGCAGUGAGGAAUAUUGGUCAAUGGACGAGAGUCUGAACCAGCCAAGUAGCGUGAAGGAUGACUGCCCUAUGGGUUGUACACUUCUUUUAUAUGGGAAUAAAAUGUUCCACGUGUGGGAUUUUGUAUGUACAUUAUGAAUAAGGAUCGGCUAACUCCGUGCCAGCAGCCGCGGUAAUACGGAGGAUCCGAGCGUUAUCCGGAUUUAUUGGGUUUAAAGGGCGCGUAGGUGGAUUGUUAAGUCAGUGGUGAAAGUUUGCGGCUCAACCGUAAAAUUGCAGUUGAAACUGGCAGUCUGGAGUACAGUAGAGGUGGGCGGAAUUCGUGGUGUAGCGGUGAAAUGCUUAGAUAUCACGAAGAACUCCGAUUGCGAAGGCAGCUCACUGGACUGCAACUGACACUGAGGCUCGAAAGUGUGGGUAUCAAACAGGAUUAGAUACCCCGGUAGUA
rnacentral:rRNA from 1 species